rnacentral:rRNA from 1 species
UACGUAGGGCGCAAGCGUUGUCCGGAAUUAUUGGGCGUAAAGAGCUCGUAGGCGGUUUGUCGCGUCUGUCGUGAAAGCCCACGGCUUAACCGUGGGUCUGCGGUGGAUACGGGCAGACUAGAGGCAGGUAGGGGAGAAUGGAAUUCCCGGUGUAGCGGUGAAAUGCGCAGAUAUCAGGAAGAACACCCGUGGCGAAGGCGGCUCUCUGGGACGGUACUGACGCUGAGACGCGAAAGCGUGGGGAGCGAACAGG